CUCCAGUUAGCCUAGUGGUUAAGACCUUGGAUCGCCAAUCCGGAAACGGCGGGUUCAAUUCCCGUUCUGGACG
rnacentral:tRNA from 1 species